UUAACUUGUUUCCCGGUGAAGAGUUUCAGAGACAAAGACCAAAAAAGCUACUUGUGAAGUGAGCUCAAAAUGACAGUUCUUGUAAAAGUCCUCAACAUUUUCCUUUGGAUAUUUUCCUUUAAUUUUGUGCGAGGUCAAGUGAAUUCCCAAACGCCAACCCUGAGCUUGAUUCCUGUUACAACUCGGAAAAGUACAUUUGUCAUGUGUGUUAUUGAGGAUUUCUACCCCAUGGAUUACUACUUCCCUAUACGAUGGAAAGUAAAUGAUAUCAUCAGCCAGACAGAGCCAGUACUGGAGUACAAAUUGAAUGAUGAAGGUCUUUAUACAGCACAAAAUCUUUAUAAAGUCAGCAGUGAGACAUGGAAUGCAAAUACUAACUAUACUUGCGAGGUCACACACCAGGGCAAAACAAUUAUUGAGAAGAAGAACUUCAAGUCAUCUAAUGCUCCAUUCACACUAACACUGAAGCCACCAAUUGAGAGAGACUUAUUUGUCUAUAAUAAAGUUAUCUUGGAAGCUGUUGUUUCUGGAGAUGUAAAAACGGCAGCGAAUGAAGCUUCAGUGUCGUGCAUAGUGAAGAAUGAAUCUGUAAUCAGUGUAACAGGAACUAUAAACUUUUCUCAGGAUAUUUCACAGUUUAUAAGAAUCCACAACAUCCCUGUUGAUACAAAUAAAUGGUUUGAUGGUGAAAUAGUCACCUGCACCGUUCAUGACACAAAUAACAACAGAGACAUCAAGCAGGAGAUCCGUUUCGAUAAAGGAGAUGGACUGAAACCCAGUGUUGUCAUUUACACACCUGAUUCUAUUGACACAGACAGAGUCUCUCUGGUGUGUGAGGUCACCAGCCCUAAACUUGGCAAUGUCUAUAUCAUGUGGAAAGUGGGUGAAGAGCCUUACAUAAAGGGCUCAACCAGCACUCCCAUCCAUCAACGGGACUCCACAUCUGUUCUCAGCAUACUAACAAUAUCAAAACAAGAGUAUGAAAAGUACAACACCAUCACCUGCACAGUCAUACAUGCCAACAUGAAUUAUAGAAGAAAUCCAUUACAAGUUUCAACAUCCCAAAGGAAACUACACAUGUCACUUUUGAGAUAUCCAGAGAUAUCAUGUGAUUAA